ACCACGGGAAUAACUUGCCGAAAGGUGAGCUAAUACCCGAUGGUCUCUGAGAGCAAUCGAAGAGUAAAGUUACCCCGAGUUUUGUCGAGGGGUUUCGGGUGAGGAUGAGCCUAUGUCCUAUCAGCUAGUUGGUAAGGUAAAAGCUUACCAAGGCGAUGACGGGUAGGGGGCGUGAGAGCGCGCACCUCCACAAGGGCACUGAGACACGGGCCCUACACCUACGGGUGGCAGCAAUCGGGAAUUUUGCGCAAUGGACGAAAGUCUGACGCAGCGACACCGCGUGAGGGAUGAAAGCCUUCGGGUUGUAAACCUUACUUAAAAAGCACCGGCUAACUACGUGCCAGCAGCAGCGGUAAAACGUAGGGUGCAAGCGUUGUCCGGAUUUAUUGGGCGUAAAGAGUUCUGUAGGCGGAAGGGAAAGUAGUCAGUAAAAUUCUUGGGCUUAACCCAAAUAGGGCUGGCUAAACUACCCUUCUAGAAGUAGAGAGGGAGCAGCGGAACUGGUGGUGGAGCGGUAAAAUGCGUUGAUAUCACCAGGAACACCAAGGGCGAAGGCAGCUGCUUGGCUCUUUUCUUGACGCUGAGAGACGAAAGCGUAGGGAGCGAAACGAAUUAGAUACCCGUGUAGUCUACGCUGUAAACAAUGGAUACUGGAUGCUUGUUCUCCGCCUUUGGCGGAGAGUGGGCGUCGAAGCUAACGCGUUAAGUAUCCCGCCUGGGAAGUACGGCCGCAAGGCUAAAACUCAAAGGAAUUGACGGGGACUCGCACAAGCGGUGAGGCAUGUGGUUUAAUACGAUAUUAACCGUAGGACCUUACCCAGGUUUGACAUGCACUUGCAACCCAGCCGAAAGGCGGGGGAUCCUUCGAGGGUAGUGCACAGGUGUUGCAUGGCUGUCGUCAGCUCGAGUCGUGAGAUGUUAGGUUAAGUCCUUUAUCGAGCGCAACCCUUAUUGCUAGUUGUAUCACUCUAGCGAGACUGCCCGCGCAAGCGGGAGGAAGGUGGGGAUGAUGUCAAGUCAGCAUGGCCUUUAUGCCUGGGGCCACACACAUGCGACAAUGGUCGGGACAACGGGUUGCCACUCCGUAAGGAGAAGCCAAUCCCUAAAAACCGACCUCAGUUCAGAUUGAAGGCUGCAACUCGCCUUCAUGAAGUUGGAAUCGCUAGUAAUCGCCGGUCAGCUAUACGGCGGUGAAUACGUUCUCGGGUCUU
rnacentral:rRNA from 1 species